rnacentral:rRNA from 1 species
AAUGAACGCUGGCGGCAUGCCUAACACAUGCAAGUCGAACGAGGGGCGGACGGGUGAGUAAUGUGUGGGAAAUUGCCUGAUGGAGGGGGAUAACUACUGGAAACGUUAGCUAAUACCGCUUAGCAUCCGCUGUGCCCAGAUGGGAUUAGCGAGUAGGUGGGGGAAAGGCUUACCUAGGCGACGAUCCCUAGCUGGUCUGAGAGGAUGACCAGCCACACUGGAACUGAGACACGGUCCAGACUCCUACGGGAGGCAGCAGUGGGGAAUCUUGCGCAAUGGGCGAAAGCCUGACGCAGCCAUGCCGCGUGUAUGAAGAAGGCCUUCGGAUUGUAAAGCACUUUUAGCGGGGAGGCGUUACCCGCUGAAAAAGCCCCGGCUAACUCCGUGCCAGCAGCCGCGGUAAUUC